AAGCGUUGUCCGGAUUUAUUGGGUUUAAAGGGUGCGUAGGCGGUUUUAUAAGUCUGUGUUGAAAUAUGUCGGCUCAACCGACAGACUGGCAUGGAUACUGUAAGACUUGAGUACAGUGUAGGCAGGCGGAAUUGACGGUGUAGCGGUGAAAUGCAUAGAUAUCGUCAAGAACACCGAUAGCGAAGGCAGCCUGCUGGGCAGAUACCGACGCUGAGGCACGAAAGUGUGGGGAUC
rnacentral:rRNA from 1 species